rnacentral:rRNA from 1 species
GAUGAACGCUGGCGGCGUGCCUAAUACAUGCAAGUCGAGCGAACAGACGAGGAGCUUGCUCCUCUGACGUUAGCGGCGGACGGGUGAGUAACACGUGGAUAACCUACCUAUAAGACUGGGAUAACUUCGGGAAACCGGAGCUAAUACCGGAUAAUAUAUUGAACCGCAUGGUUCAAUAGUGCAUGACGGCUUUGCUGUCACUUAUAGAUGGAUCCGCGCCGCAUUAGCUAGUUGGUAAGGUAACGGCUUACCAAGGCAACGAUGCGUAGCCGACCUGAGAGGGUGAUCGGCCACACUGGAACUGAGACACGGUCCAGACUCCUACGGGAGGCAGCAGUAGGGAAUCUUCCGCAAUGGGCGAAAGCCUGACGGAGCAACGCCGCGUGAGUGAUGAAGGUCUUCGGAUCGUAAAACUCUGUUAUUAGGGAAGAACAAAUGUGUAAGUAACUAUGCACGUCUUGACGGUACCUAAUCAGAAAGCCACGGCUAACUACGUG